rnacentral:tRNA from 1 species
UAUUAUUACUUUGGCAGAUUAGUGUGUUGAAUUUAGAAUUCAUUAAUGUAAUUAUUUUACAAGUAAUA